CCUACGGGUGGCAGCAGUGGGGAAUAUUGCGCAAUGGGCGAAAGCCUGACGCAGCGACGCCGCGUGAGGGAUGAAGGUCUUCGGAUCGUAAACCUCUGUCAGCAGGGAAGAACGGUCACUGUGCUAAUCAGCAGUGAAUUGACGGUACCUGCAAAGGAAGCACCGGCUAACUCCGUGCCAGCAGCCGCGGUAAUACGGAGGGUGCGAGUGUUAAUCGGAAUUACUGGGCGUAAAGCGCUCGUAGGCGGUAUGUCAAGUCAAGGGUGAAAUCCCCGCGCUCAACGUGGGAACUGCCUUUGAAACUGGCAAACUGGAGUGUGUGAGAGGAUAGUGGAAGUCCAGGUGUAGGAGUGAAAUGCGUAGAUAUCUGGAGGAACAUCAGGGGCGAAGGCGACUAUCUGGCACAUAACUGACGCUGAGGAGCGAAAGCGUGGGUAGCAAACAGGAUUAGAUACCCGUGUAGUC
rnacentral:rRNA from 1 species